rnacentral:rRNA from 1 species
GUUUAGUGAUCCGACGGUUCCGUGUGGAAGGGCCGUCGCUUAAAGGAUAAAAGGUACGCCGGGGAUAACAGGCUGAUCUUGCCCAAGAGUUCAUAUCGACGGCACGGUUUGGCACCUCGAUGUCGGUUCAUCGCAUCCUGGGGCUGAAGAAGGUCCCAAGGGUUUGGCUGUUCGCCAAUUAAAGCGGUACGUGAACUGGGUUCAGAACGUCGUGAGACAGUUCGGUCCCUAUCCUAUGCGGGCGCAGGAGAUUUGAGGAGCCUCGAUCUUAGUACGAGAGGACCGGAUUGACCGGACCGACGGUGUAUCUGUUGUCACGCCAGUGGCAUUGCAGAGUAGCCAUGUCCGGAAAGGAUAAGCGCUGAAAGCAUCUAAGCACGAAACCUACUCCAAGAUGAGAUCUCCCUGAAGACUCGUAGUAGACUACUACGUUGAUAGGACCACGGUGUAAGCGUAGUAAUACGUUCAGCCAACGGUUACUAAUAAGUCGUUCGACUUCAUUUU